rnacentral:misc_RNA from 1 species
AAACGAUCCCACUUAACGGCCUCUUCAGCAGACGUAAAUAUUGACAGAGCGAGAGAAAGAGGGGAGCCCAUUCUGAUACGAGAUGCUGACAAUGGAAUGUCUCCUGAUAUUAAUGGCUUGUCUGAUCGCAGUGUGUAAUGGUUCAGGGAAGGUCUCCCUCCAAAUGAUCCGUUACUACAACCCCGGGGGUCGGGGAAGUAACGGCCAUCCCUGUGACGGAAAAUUCUUCUUCAGCGGGAGUGACUGCGAUCACCGCUUCAUUAUUUGCCUCGACGAAUCAAAUGGACCUAACAGCGUCUACAGGUGCCCGUACGGACGGAAAUCCACCAAUGAAGUCAGUAACACUAACAACGUCUACUUCGGUAGCUCUGUGGGGGGCGUGUCCAAUCCAAUGCUGUUCCCCUUUGCCAUAUGGCAGGGAAGCAUAAAAAUCAAGGUGGAGGUGUGGGACUCUGAUGAUAAUGGAGAUGAUCACGUCGACUUCCUGCAUUCCAUGUUGAGAGCCGUUCCUUACUAUAACGCCUCUUCCGCUCACGCCAUAUCCCACACACUCAGUGCAAGAACAACACUGUGGCUGAAGCUAAAAGUUUACUGUGACAGUGAUUUCUAUGGAGACAGUUGCGCCACCUUUUGUCGACCACGUGACGACAGUUUUGGACACUACUCCUGUGAUCCUAAAACUGGAUCAAAAAUAUGUUUGCAUGGUCAGUACUUUUUCUUUUAACUUUGAAAUACAAAGAAGACAACCUGACAGGCAUUUUAUGUAGAGUAAAUCAUGAUAACAGCAAACACACUUAUAACGAAUUCAUGCCUACAGCAAAUACGGGUUCAUUCCCCUUAAUACCUUAACUAUGUACUGUUGUAAAUCAUUAUUUGAUAUAACGUAUACCAUUUAUCAAUUAUAAAUAAAAUUUAGUUAGUUUGUUUGCGUGCUAUAAUUAUUUAUAGAACACGUGACUAAAUUGCUAUAAAUAACGCUGGUCAUACGAAUUCGGAAUCGACUCUCGCUAUAACCGGAAGACACGUACAUCGUGAAACACGGGCCAGGGGAUAUAUGUAUUAGUAUGUCGGGAGAAACAGAACGACUUGAAGAAGAAAUGCAACCAAGACGACCAAGAGGAAACAGAAACACUACAGCUGAUGCAGUGGCGUUGUAUUGUUAUUACAUAGAAUAAAAUUAAUUUUAUAUUCGGACAAACGCAGCGAGGGAGUGGAAUUUGCUCAUUCCUGUUGUUUCUCUAUAAUCGUGCUCUACUGUAUCACACUCUUGUUAACUUCUUACUUCCAGGUUGGCAGGGGACACUUUGUCACGUUAAGAUUGACCACUGUCAAAGUUCACCCUGUCUGAAUGGAGCCACAUGUCUUAACUCAAAUGGAGGCUUCGUGUGCGUGUGUCAAGAUGGAUACAACGGAACACUGUGUGAAUUUAAAAAUAAUUGUUUUAACAACCCUUGCGAGAAUGGUGGAAGGUGCAUAGUCAAAGAAGCCGAUGAAAGCCAGUGUGACUGUAUCAAUGAAUGGACAGGUCCAACAUGUUCACUGCUGAUACCGCCCGGAUGUAGGGCAAUUACAGUCAAAAUGGACAAAAACCUCGGCAGAGAGGAGCUGGAGGCGUUCGAAGAUAAAAUUAAGAUACGUGUUGCGAGCAGAUUUAAUGUGGAUCAGGCUGACGUUUACUUGAACGUUAAUAGUAUACCUAACGUCCAGAAAGAAGAAAACGUGUCAGAUACAUUAUUGAGUGUUAGAGCUUUUGUCAAAAGUCGAGCUGUGUGUUUUGAGGAGCUGCAGCCAUUGUUAACGGAGGUUAAAAGUUCUCUGAUGACCGGAAGCCAGCCUCGCAGUGGCUUGAUAAUACAAAAGACGGACAAUGAGAACUGGUUGUCUGUGAAUUGGUAUGUGGUGGUGGUUGCUGUGGCGUCAGCCGUAUUGUUCAUUCUGAUCAUAGUCCUGGUCCUGAAGAAGCGCAAGCAAAAGACACUUGCGAUAAAUGGAAGCCGUCGCUAUAACGUCGACUCUGACCUUUGUCACCUUGAUGAAGCCAAUGGUUUUACUCCGAUCACUUUUGAAAAUUCACUUUAUGCAACAGUUCAACCUGACGAGCAAAUUAGAGUUUCUACCAGAUAUGAUUUUGAUGACAGCUGACAAUAAUAUGUCUUUUGAGAGAGAGAGAGAGAGAGAGAGAGAGAGAGAGAGAGAGAGAGAGAGAGAGAGAGAGAGCACACUUACAUCUUUUUCCUCUUGUGUUCAUUUCAAACAUUGCAAUGUGUGUAUUAUGUUUAUUAUACUUACUUGUCCAUACAAAUUUUAUGACAAUCUUGUAUAAGUAUUUUGUCAUAUGAAUAAAAGAAUUAAAAAU